CUCACACCGGUCUGAACUCAAAUCAUGUAAAACUUUAAAGGUCGAACAGACCUUCUCUUAUAGUCUCUACUCUAUAAAGAACCUUUAAUUCAACAUCGAGGUCGCAAACUCUCUUGUCGAUAAGAACUCUCAAAGAAAAUUACGCUGUUAUCCCUAAAGUAACUUAAUCUUUAAUCCCUUUUAGGAUCAAUAAUUCAAAUAUUAUUGUAAGAACAAAAGACAGUUAUCUUUUCCUUAUAUCCUUGUCGCCCCAACAAAACAAUUUAAAAUAGUAACCUUAAAAUAAAAUUGAUCUCCAUCUUAAAAUAUAAAGUUUUAUAGGGUCUUAUCGUCCCCUUAGAUCAUUUAAGCCUUUUCACUUAAAAGUUAAAUUCAAUAUAUUAAUUUAAGACAGAUUAUUUCUUGUCCAACCAUUCAUUCUAGCCUUCAAUUAAAAAACUAAUGAUUAUGCUACCUUUGCACGGUCAUAGUACCGCGGCCUUUCAGUUCUCCAAC
rnacentral:rRNA from 1 species